rnacentral:rRNA from 1 species
GACGAACGCUGGCGGCGCGCCUAACACAUGCAAGUCGAACGGGGUCUUUUAAAAAAGCUUGCUUUUUUGGUUGACCUAGUGGCGGACGGGUGAGUAACACGUGAGCAACCUGCCGAGGAGUGGGGGAUAACGUUUGGAAACGAACGCUAAUACCGCAUAAUAUCUCUGGGGGCAUCCCCGGGGAAUAAAAGGAGAAAUCCGCUUUUUGAUGGGCUCGCGCCCGAUUAGGUAGUUGGUGGGGUAAAGGCCUACCAAGCCGACGAUCGGUAGCCGGACUGAGAGGUUGAACGGCCACAUUGGGACUGAGACACGGCCCAGACUCCUACGGGAGGCAGCAGUGGGGGAUAUUGCACAAUGGGGGAAACCCUGAUGCAGCGACGCCGCGUGAGUGAAGACGGCCUUCGGGUUGUAAAGCUCUGUGGACAGGGACGAUAAUGACGGUACCUGUCUAGAAAGCCACGGCUAACUACGUGCCAGCCGCCGCCGUAAAAC